ACCAGUGCUGGAGUGCCCAGGACACAGGAUGGGCAAGUUCCGUUGCAGAGAGUGCUAUGGUCUUCAGUCAAGACAGCUCUGAAGAGGGGCCCGUUGUGAAUGUCCUGCUGGGCCUUCCCUGGUUUUCAAAGACCUACUCGUUUCUCAUUCAACUCAAGACUUACGUUCUCAGUGCAGCCUUCUCUACUUGAACAGAAUGCCUGCUCCCUGAGUCUACAGUCCAGAGUCCUUGGAAAUCAUCUCUCACUGGAGCCUGAAUAAGCCCUGUGACCUAAGAAAGGACUUCAGCAAAUUCUAUAUCCCCGUAAAGCACCCCAGAAAACCAUGUGUUAUUCACAACAGCCAAGAUUUGGAAACAACCUAAACAUCAAUUGACAGAUAAAUGGAUAAGGGAAAUCUGAUAUCUACAUACAAUGGAAUAUUGUUCACACUUAAGAAAAAAAGAAGAAAAUUCUGCAGUGUGUGACAACAUGGAUGAAUCUUCAGGAUUAUGCUACGUGAAGCAAGCCAGUCCUUGAAAGGAGCUGUGAAACCGAGGCCAGGAAUCUGCAUGCGUUCAUUUAUGCAACCGAGAGAGACUGAGCACCUAUCGUGUUCCAAGCUCUAUUCCUGAUACUGAGGAUACAGCAGUGUACAGACAAAUGCCCUGUUCCCAUUGGUAGUUACAACCUUGGAUGGAAUUCUUCUUUGUACUUCCAGCUUCUAGCACAUUGCCUAGCCCAAGAACAGAGCCAAAAACGGAUACCCUGGAAUUAUGAAGGAGCUCUGGUGGGGACUGAUGGCAACCAGGCUGUGCCACUCACAAGCAGGUAUGGUCUGACCUCCCACCUAAAAACGACGGGCUCUCCACACAACGUCCAAGGCUUCUGCCAAAUAAGAGAUCACACUUACUUUCCUCAAGUCAAAGUUCAAGAUAGGUACCUGUUGCAUCUAUAGGACUGUAUGAUUAGACUGAUGCUCCAGUGGCCCAGGAGCUACAAAACCCUGAGAUUCUUUGAUAUAGUCAGUGGAGUUUUAUGGCUCACUGUUACUUCACUUCUUUGAAAAUUGAGAAAACUUCGAUAAUAUACAUAUAAAUAUACAUCAGAGUAACACCACUUCCAAAUGUUCUUGACUUAAUCACACCUUAUACAUUCUGCUCAAGACCACAAAUUGAUUAAUUGCGGUUUCAGCAAUGCAAUUUAAGCUUUAAUAUGUUGCUCCAUAUAUGCUUGAUAGUGCAUCAACUCUUAACAGUUCCAUUAAGUUUUAUAGUAUGACCCUAAGCAAGUCUGCAGAGUUCAGCAGGAGAGGCUAUAGGAAAGUCACAAUGGCAGAUUUCCAGGUUAACUCCCUGUAAGAUUUAUCCAUUAGAUCUGGGAUGAGGCUUGGGAAGCACUCCCUUGGAGAGCUCUCUUCAAUCAGUGGUUCUCCAACUGACUCCACUUUGCAACCUCCUGGGGAGCUUUACAAACAAACAAACAAACAAACAAAAACAGAAUCGCUCUUUGCCUGGUGGCUCAGUUGGUCAAAGCAUUGUCCAUACACCAAAAAGGUUGAAAGUUCAGUCCCCGGUAAGGGAGUGUACAGGAGGCAAUCAAUCAAUGUUUCUCUUAUAUUGAUGAUCUCUCUCUCUGAAAUCAAUAUAUACCCUUGGAUGAGAAUUUUUAAAAAUGCAGAGGCCCAGGUUCCACCCCAUGAGAUUUGGAUGUAAUUGGCCUGGGGUACAACCUAAGCAUUGGAUUUCCAGAGCUCCCCUGCUCAUUCCAGUGUGAAGUCAGGAUUGAGAACCACCGCUGUAGAUUUUGACCAAGAUUGCCCAACUCUGGAAAUCUCUUUGGAUAAUUGGAAAUUAUUUAUUUCUCUCAUGUGGAGCUGGUGUAAUCUCCGUAUUAGCGCUACUCUUGGCGUGAAACUGAGGCCUAAUCUCAGGUUGCUCAUUGUGAUCUGGAGACCAGCCACAUCCCCAUCACCCAAGUACCCCCAACGGAAACAGAAUCUGCAUUUUAACAAGAUCCCCAAGUGUUUCAUGUGCUCAUUAAAUUUUAAAGAGCUCAGCAAAGUGGCCUCAAUUAUGCAUUUCUAACAAGCUUCCAGGUGUGGUUCUACUGCUCCUGGGGCGCCCAGGGGCAAAAAUUUAAAGCACUUUUUCUCAAAGUGUGACCCAAGAAGGGUUUCCAGAAAAGUGUAGAAAGCUCGUUCUGGACUUCACCACAAACCUUCCUGAAUCCUCUGGGUAUUGUAAUAACUAUGUAUGGUGGGUACUCGAAAUAUUGGGAGAAUAACUCUGUAAAGUAUGUGAUUGUCUAACCAAUAUGCUGUACACCUGAAACUAAAAAUAAUAUUGAAUGGAAACUAUAAUUGAAAAAUAAAAUUUAAAAUUCA